CUGAAUUGCAUUUUCUCCCAAAAAUGUAUGUGUUCCCAUGUUUUAAUAGUCAGUGCCUCAGAAUGGGAAUAUAUUUGGACAUAUGAUUUUUAUAGAGGUAAUUAAGGUUAAGUGAGUUUAUUGGAGUGAGCCCUAAUCCAAUAUGACUGGGGUCUUUAUAAGAAGUGAUGGUAAAGAUACAGAAACAGAAGAUCCUGUGAACACAGCAAUGGAAGACAGCAAUCUACUAGUCAAGGAAAAUGGCCUCAGAAAAAACACCCCAGCCAUAGCUUGAUGUCAGGUUCCUAGCCUCCAAAAUUGUGAGAAAAAAUAUCUGUUAUUAAAGCCUUGAGUUUGUGAUGCUGUAUUAUGACAGCGUAGCAAACUGUUAUAGUUUGUUAAGACACAUACAAUAUGUUUCCUGCAGCACGACUGAAGUGGAAAUAAAAUGUCUUCAUGCCAGUUUCCACCAGCAUUGAAAGGCUGAACCACUGUGGGAAACAGCUUUGAUUAUGAAAUAACAUAAAGACGUGAUAUCAAGACAUGUAAGGUCAGAGCUCCUGCCCUGAUGGGACUAUAGGCAUGAGUUCUCUAAGAUGACACAUUGCAGAGAAAUGCGUAGGAUACCUUAACCUUUUUGGGUUAACCCCCGGCUCCCCUUUUGUAAACACUUCCCUCAUAAAAAUACUCGUGUGUAAGGUAUGGAGAAGGAGCUGUCUGCUAUAAGAGAUACCUGGGUGCAGUUAUUUAAUAAAAACAGCAACAUGCAAAGAUACUCAGGGCCUAGUGUGAAGUAAAAGCAACAGAAAAAUGUCUUCUCUGAUAUUUCUAUAAGUAUGUGAACAGGGAUUUGCGCCUAACCAUUUGCCAUUUAGGACUCAUGAAAGCCAGACUCCUUUGGGAAAGAAUGGUGAGUUACCCUAGUGGAAAAGCCCUAGGACAGAUCCCAGGGUGUCUACAUAUUCAGGUCUUUGUCCUCGGCCCACUUUUGUCUCCUCUGAUCCCUGUCUGCAAAGACCUCUCUGUGCCCACUCCCACCCAAGCCCAGUGCUAGAUAUGCUCGGUGGCAUGGUAUACCUGCCCUUCAUCCAAAGAGAUGGAGUAGUUGGACCCAUCAAACAGCUUUUUAUUGAUCUCCUGCAUGGAGCUCUGCAAAGAGAGUGCCUUGCAGCUAGGCCAAGAGGCAUCAGUGGUUGCCUGGUUGUCAUCACGGGGACACUUCCAUUAAAAGUUCUCCAAAGGUUGAGGCUUCAUUGAGCCAUGAUUACACCACUGCACUUCAGCCUGUGAGACAAAAGUGAGACCCUAUUUAAAAAAAAUAAUUAUCCCUAUAUCAGGCAUAAAAGAGAAUUCCCAUAGACCUUCAGCCAGGGAGGAAACCAGAUCACGGUUUGAAGUCUUGGGGUUCACAUCCAAGAAGACAAAAUUGUUUUUCAACACUCACCUCCCUGUCCUGUCAUGCCCUGUGGUAUGAACCUGACCAUCUCACUAAGGCUUCCGACACUUGAUAAUCUGCUUGUGUCCAGAAAUAGCCUCCUCAGCACUUGCUUUCCCCAACACACGGUGUCAGAAAGACAUGUGAGCCUUAUUUAAUAGGAUCACAGAUGAGGCCUUACCUGCAUGGGCCUCUCCUGAGAUGCCCUGUGUUAACUUUGCAUGCCCCCUGCCAAAUGGCCAGAGGCAUCAGUGGUGAGAGUUGAGCCAAUGCCUGCAUUGUUGGAAAGCAUUCUCACGUCAGGCCUUACUAAAUCAAGAGCCUUGGAAAAGUCAGGAUAUAGCAAAAGAACAUCUUGCUCUCUUGAGCAUUUCCUACUGAGUAAGUUGACUACUGGGGCUGUCUCUAGAAUGUAGGUGCCUGGUUACCAGGGUUCUAAAUUAUCUUGGGGUCUGUCACCGAGAAAGUAAGGUCACUUCAGGGUUCUAUCCCCAGGACCCCUUCCUUCCAUAUGACCUACCCAAAGGCCCUGGUGGGCUACUGAUUUCUCACGCUCCCCACCAUGUCAGCUCCUUGCCUAUACACAGUUAUGCAAGCAC
rnacentral:lncRNA from 10 species